CGUCAGUACAGGAAGGUACAUCUUUAACUGAACACCAGUGAUGAAGGACUUAGCGAGCUCUGUUUCGCCAGCCCUUAAAGUCAACAGUCUCCUCAUUCUUCGGCACACGGUCUCCUGAGUGAUAACUGCUGCUCUUCCCACAGGGCGACGGUGAAGGAGACCAACAAGUAAGGUGCAGGAAAGGGCCAGGGGUGUCUCUGGCAGACUGCCUCUCCUGAGCGUGCCUCCCACCCUGCUCGCCGGGUUCACUCGGCUUAGACGGUGCUUCUCCUGGGGACCUUCCCUGGCCUCCCACGUCUAAGCUCCGUGGAAGUGAGAGCCACGCCAAUGACAAUCUUCCCACGAAGCUGAGAAGCCCGCCGUCCCUAGCACGGGCCUCUCCCCAGCACGCUGUUGAGCAGAUUUUCCACCUGAAGGGGGAUGUUCCACUCAGCUCAUGCCCAAACGCUAAGGUACUGACCCGGGGAGGCUGGCGGGUGGGGAACGAGGAAGCAGAGACACCCAGGGCGGCCUUCUCCCGCCUCCCUGAAACCUGCAGAAUUCAUUUUUGGGUUCUUUCUCCUGGCCUCCAGAAGUUGAGACUUUUCUGGAGACAUCAAUUUUGUGGAGAGGUAAAUAAUGUUAAAAUAAAAUAAUAAUGAGAAGAGUAACAGCUAACCUUUCUUGGCCCUGAGUCCUGCAGGGACUGGCUCAGUUACCGCAUCCACAUCCCUAAUCAGGUGUCCAUUAGGCACGUACUGACAAGGAAACAGGCACCCAGAGGUUAGGUAACCUGCCCACGAUGACACAGA